rnacentral:rRNA from 1 species
UCCGGCCGGGAACUCAAAGGAGACUGCCAGUGAUAAACUGGAGGAAGGUGGGGAUGACGUCAAGUCAUCAUGGCCCUUACGACCAGGGCUACACACGUGCUACAAUGGCGCAUACAAAGAGAAGCGAUCUCGCGAGAGCAAGCGGACCUCAUAAAGUGCGUCGUAGUCCGGAUUGGAGUCUGCAACUCGACUCCAUGAAGUCGGAAUCGCUAGUAAUCGUGGAUCAGAAUGCCACGGUGAAUACGUUCCCGGGCC